GGGGAUGUAACUCAGUUGGUAGAGUGCCUGCUUAGCAUGCAUGAAGCCCUGGGUUGGAUCCCAGCAUUGCAU
rnacentral:tRNA from 1 species